rnacentral:rRNA from 1 species
UACGUAGGGGGGCAAGCGUUGUCCGGAAUCAUUGGGCGUAAAGCGCGUGUAGGCGGCCCGGUAAGUCCGCUGUGAAAGUCGGGGGGCUCAACCCUCGGAUGCCGGUGGAUACUGUCGGGCUCGAGUACGGAAGAGGCGAGUGGAAUUCCUGGUGUAGCGGUGAAAUGCGCAGAUAUCAGGAGGAACACCAAUUGCGAAGGCAGCUCGCUGGGACGUUACUGACGCUGAGACGCGAAAGCGUGGGGGAGCAAACAGG